GCGUAAAGGGCGCGUAGGCGGAUUAUCAAGUCUCUUGUGAAAUCCAACGGCUCAACCGUUGAACUGCUUGGGAAACUGGUAAUCUAGAGUGGGGGAGAGGCAGAUGGAAUUGGUGGUGUAGGGGUAAAAUCCGUAGAUAUCACCAAGAAUACCCAUUGCGAAGGCGAUCUGCUGGAACUUAACUGACGCUAAGGCGCGAAAGCGUGGGGAGCAAACAGGAUUAGAUACCCUGGUAGUCCACGCCCUAAACGAUGUAUGCUAGUUGUUGGGGUGCUAGUCAUCUCAGUAAUGCAGCUAACGCAUUAAGCAUACCGCCUGGGGAGUACGGUCGCAAGAUUAAAACUCAAAGGAAUAGACGGGGACCCGCACAAGCGGUGGAGCAUGUGGUUUAAUUCGAAGAUACGCGAAGAACCUUACCUGGGCUUGAUAUCCUAAGAACCUUAUAGAGAUAUGAGGGUGCUAGCUUGCUAGAACUUAGAGACAGGUGCUGCACGGCUGUCGUCAGCUCGUGUCGUGAGAUGUUGGGUUAAGUCCCGCAACGAGCGCAACCCACGUAUUUAGUUGCUAACACUUCGGGUGAGCACUCUAAAUAGACUGCCUUCGUAAGGAGGAGGAAGGUGUGGACGACGUCAAGUCAUCAUGGCCCUUAUGCCCAGGGCGACACACGUGCUACAAUGGCAUAUACAAUGAGACGCAAUACCGCGAGGUGGAGCAAAUCUAUAAAAUAUGUCCCAGUUCGGAUUGUUCUCUGCAACUCGAGAGCAUGAAGCCGGAAUCGCUAGUAAUCGUAGAUCAGCCAUGCUACGGUGAAUACGUUCCC
rnacentral:rRNA from 1 species